UACGUAGGGUCCGAGCGUUGUCCGGAAUUAUUGGGCGUAAAGGGCUCGUAGGCGGUUUGUCGCGUCGGGAGUGAAAACUCAGGGCUCAACCCUGAGCGUGCUUCCGAUACGGGCAGACUAGAGGUAUGCAGGGGAGAACGGAAUUCCUGGUGUAGCGGUGGAAUGCGCAGAUAUCAGGAGGAACACCGGUGGCGAAGGCGGUCUGCUGGGCCGUUGCUGACGCUGAGGCGCGACAGCGUGGGGAGCAAACAGG
rnacentral:rRNA from 1 species